AUCCUCAGCAGUAACUGGAUGAAGUGCACAAGCAGGCUUUAUUCACUACUUCUGGUGGAGUACAGGUUCAUUGCUUAAUGAUUUAAGUAGAAUCUUUUUCCAACUUUUGAAAUGGUUUGCUGUUAUCAGAGUCUGCUCGUUUGCAGGAUUUUUCGAAGUUAGUGAUUGAAGAUUUUAUCAUGUAAUGAAGCUUGCCUAAUGGGGUAUUAGAUAUUAUCUGAAGACCUUGCUGUGUCAAAAACUUUCUGCCUAAUGAUUGGUAGUGGUAGACGCGGCUAUAAAUUUCAUCUUUGUUUUGAA